rnacentral:lncRNA from 10 species
CCUCUACCUGAAUGCACUUGUGAACUUCAGAAUUUUGAAGCUCUGUCUCCUGACAUCACAGAUAGACUACCUAGACCAAAAGGGUGACAUUAAGAAGAAGAGAGCACUGAACUUGGCAGGAAAAUCAGUAGGAGUAAGUGGCGGAGGCAUGGGACUGGCAGAGAUACGGCAGCCCCUGUGGAGAGGCUGUCUACAGAUAACAUAACAAUAACAACAGGAUCUGCGGGGUUCCUGCAUGCGUGUUGGCUUCACUGGAGAAACUAAUCAAGUGGUCUGAGUCAUUCAAGUUAUAGUCUAUUUGAAGACGAGUUGAAUCUGAAACAAUGAGUAAGAUGAUGAGAGCUCGAUACUUAUGGUUUAAAUAUAAAAGGGGUAUCCCAACUCAGAAAGAGAGAGGAGAUCUGGAAAAAUCCUGCUUUCUGAAGCUUUUGACGGUAUUUUCAUACUGCCUGACUAAAGUGCAACAGCUACAUAUUGACAGGCGGUGGAAGGUGCAGUUUGGACACAGAGACUGACACACAGGAAGAAUACCAUGUGAAGACUGGAGUUUUGCAUAGAGAAGCCAAGGAGCUACCAGAAGCUAGGAGAAUGGCCUGGAACAGACCUUUCCUUAGUGCCUUCAGAGAGAGCAUGGCGCUGCCAACAUCUUGAUCUCAGACUUCCAGCAUCCUGAAUUGUGAGAUAAAUUUCUGCUGUUUAAACCAUAUAAUUUGUGAUACUUUGCUAUGGCAACUGUCACAGCUAUUAUAAGCACCUAACCCUUUUUUUAAUCUUUUAAGAAACUUUUUGCUUUCAUCUACUUUUUUUGUUCUGGUUAUUCCAUAUUUUACUUUAAGAUUUAGUCUUCUGUCAAUAAAGCAAUAAUUUCAGAUCAAUUU